GAGGGAGUCCCUCCCUCUAAAAGCACUCUGUAUGGGGAACAUGAGAGCCAGACCAAAGCUCAGAGGAACCCACCUGGACCUCCACCCAGCUCUGUGUCCUGUAAGAGUGACGCGUCUAAAGAUGAAGUUAUUUACUUUAAAUCAGGCGUGUGUCGUCCUGCAGAGAGAGUGGACCAGCAGAGCUCAGAGGUUCGCAGUGGUCAGUCUGCCCAGCAGCAUCAAAC